UACAGAGGUCCCAAGCGUUGUUCGGAUUUACUGGGCGUAAAGGGUGCGUAGGCGGUUGGGUAAGUCUGACGUGAAAUCUCCGGGCCUAACCCGGAAACUGCGUUGGAUACUAUUUGACUAGAGGAAUGGAGGGGAGACUGGAAUACUUGGUGUAGCAGUGAAAUGCGUAGAUAUCAAGUGGAACACCAGUGGCGAAGGCGAGUCUCUGGACAUUUCCUGACGCUGAGGCACGAAAGCGUGGGGAUCAAACAGG
rnacentral:rRNA from 1 species